rnacentral:misc_RNA from 1 species
GAUGAAGAACGUAGCGAAAUGCGAUAAGUAAUGUGAAUUGCAGAAUUCAGUGAAUCAUCGAAUCUUUGAACGCACAUUGCGCCCCCCGGUAUUCCGGCGGGCAUGCCUGUUCGAGCGUCAUUUCAACCCUCAAGCCCCAGGCUUGUGUUGGGGACCUGCGGCUGCCGCAGGCCCUGAAAACCAGUGGCGGGCUCGCUGUCACACCGGGCGUAGUAGAUUUUAUCUCGCUCAGGGCGUGCUGCGGGUUCCGGCCGUUAAAAAGCCUUUUUUACCCAAGGUUGACCUCGGAUCAGGUAGGAAGACCCGCUGAACUUAAGCAUAUCAAUAAGCGGAGGA